UCCUCGGUGGUAUAGUGGUUGGUAUUCCCACCUGUCAUGCGGUAGAUCGGUGUUCGAUCCUCGCCGGGGAG